UUGUAUUUAGUGACUAAUAGUGAACAAAGUACUGUGAAGGAAAAAGAUGAAACUGUAUAAUAGAAAAAAAUUUUCUAUUUAAACUACUGCUGGUUUUUAAUA
rnacentral:rRNA from 1 species